rnacentral:rRNA from 1 species
GAGUGGAGAGUGGCGCACGGGUGAGUAACACGUGAGCAACCUGCCGGGAAGCCCGGGAUAGCCCUCCGAGAGGAGGAUUAAUACCGGAUGUGGCCACCCUGCGAUUGCAGGGGAAGCUAAAGGAUUAUUCACUUCCCGAGGGGCUCGCGGCCCAUCAGCUUGUUGGUGAGGGUAACGGCCCACCAAGGCGACAACGGGUAGCUGGUCUGAGAGGAUGGUCAGCCACACUGGAACUGAGACACGGUCCAGACACCUACGGGUGGCAGCAGUCGAGAAUCAUUCGCAAUGGGGGAAACCCUGACGAUGCGACGCCGCGUGGAGGAUGAAGGCCUUAGGGUUGUAAACUCCUGUCAAGAGGGAAUAAGCAAGUGAAGGUACCUCUAGAGGAAGGGGCGGCUAAUUCCGUGCCAGCAGCCGCGGUAACACGGAAGCCCCGAGCGUUGUUCGGAUUCAUUGGGCGUAAAGGGUGCGUAGGCGGCGCGGAAAGUCCGGCGUGAAAGGCAGAGGCUCAACCUCUGGACUGCGUUGGAUACUUCCGUGCUUGAGGACUGGAGGGGAGACUGGAAUUCACGGUGUAGCAGUAAAAUGCGUAGAUAUCGUGAGGAAGACCGGUGGCGAAGGCGAGUCUCUGGACAGAUCCUGACGCUGAGGCACGAAGGCUGGGGGAGCGAACAGGAUUAGAUACCCUGGUAGUCCCAGCAGUAAACGAUGUGAGCUUGAUGUGGGGGGAUUCGACCCCUUCCGUGUCGAAGCUAACGCGAUAAGC